ensembl:lncRNA
AGUCUUCAUUUGGCUCCAGAAUUGAAAGCUUUUUGGGCUGUAAGUGUCAGAACAUCCAACUUGAAGUUGCUGAAGCCAGACAGAAAUGUAUUAUUAACGCAGAACUGAAUGUCCAGGAUGGAAGUAAGAUGGCUCAGAAUAUCCCAGCCUUACAACUACAGACCACAGUAUCUGGAGGGAAAAUGAGAUCUUUUCUCAAUGCAGAUCUCAGGAAUAAGGCUGUGCCAGGCAGCGUGCAGGAUCUUAAUUCCCUGACCAGGGAUUGAACCUGUGCCCCUGGAGUGGAAGUUUGGAGGCCUAACCACUGGACCACCAGGGAUGUCCCUCGACUGCCUUUUAAUUCAGUUAAUUCAGUCACUUUGCAGUUCAUUUUUUGCUUCGUAUUUAAGUGUUUUGGUGGUCAGACCACAUUUCUGCUAAGAGUUCAUGGCUUGUUUUCAGGAGAAAAUGGCUAAAAGUUCAAUAUAAUUGUAUGCAUUUGAGGUCUAUGAAUAACUGUGAUAAAAUGUUCAGAAAGUAAAAAUGCUGCCUUCCACUCAAAAUUAAAUGGAGUUGACACAGCUGGUU